rnacentral:rRNA from 1 species
UAGGGAGCAAGCGUUAUCCGGAAUUAUUGGGUGUAAAGGGGGCGUAGACGGGAAUACAAGUUAGUUGUGAAAUCCCUAGGCUUAACUGAGGAACUGCAACUAAAACUAUAUUUCUUGAGUGCGGGAGAGGAAAGUGGAAUUCCUAGUGUAGCGGUGAAAUGCGUAGAUAUUAGGAGGAACACCAGUGGCGAAGGCGACUUUCUGGACCGUAACUGACGUUGAGGCACGAAAGUGUGGGGAGCAAA